rnacentral:rRNA from 1 species
UAGAAUUCCACGUGUAGCGGUGAAAUGCGUAGAGAUGUGGAGGAAUACCGGUGGCGAAGGCGGCCUUCUGGACAGAUACUGACGCUGAGAUGCGAAAGCGUGGGGAGCAAACAGGAUUAGAUACCCUGGUAGUCCACGCUGUAAACGAUGUCGAUUUGGAGUUUGUUGCCUAGAGUGAUGGGCUCCGAAGCUAACGCGAUAAAUCGACCGCCUGGGGAGUACGGCCGCAAGGUUAAAACUCAAAUGAAUUGACGGGGGCCCGCACGAGCGGUGGAGCAUGUGGUUUAAUUCGAUGCAACGCGAAGAACCUUACCUGGUCUUGACAUCCACAGAAUCUUGCAGAGAUGCGAGAGUGCCUUCGGGAACUGUGAGACAGGUGCUGCAUGGCUGUCGUCAGCUCGUGUUGUGAAAUGUUGGGUUAAGUCCCGCAACGAGCGCAACCCUUAUCCUUUGUUGCCAGCGAUUCGGUCGGGAACUCAAAGGAGACUGCCGUUGAUAAAGCGGAGGAAGGUGGGGACGACGUCAAGUCAUCAUGGCCCUUACGACCAGGGCUACACACGUGCUACAAUGGCGUAUACAAAGGGAGGCGACCUCGCGAGAGCAAGCGGACCUCAUAAAGUACGUCUAAGUCCGGAUUGGAGUCUGCAACUCGACUCCAUGAAGUCGGAAUCGCUAGUAAUCGUGAAUCAGAAUGU